GGGGUGCUCGAGUGGCGAACGGGUGAAUAACACGUGAGUAACCUGCCCUUGACUUUGGGAUAACUUCAGGAAACUGGGGCUAAUACCGGAUAGGAGCUCCUGCUGCAUGGUGGGGGUUGGAAAGUUUCGGCGGUUGGGGAUGGACUCGCGGCUUAUCAGCUUGUUGGUGGGGUAGUGGCUUACCAAGGCUUUGACGGGUAGCCGGCCUGAGAGGGUGACCGGCCACAUUGGGACUGAGAUACGGCCCAG
rnacentral:rRNA from 1 species